rnacentral:rRNA from 1 species
CCCCAGCGCCACAAGUGGUACCCAGCUUUAUUUGGUCUAAAGCGUCCGUAGAUGGCAAGUUAAAUUCUCUGUGAAAUCGUGGCGCUCGACGUCACGGCGUGCAGAGAACACUGAUUUGCUUGGGACCAGAAGAGGUCAGCAGUAUUCCGUGGGGAGCGGUAAAAUGCUAUAAUCCACGGAGGACUACCGAUGGCGAAGGCAGCUGACCAGUAUGGAUCCGACAUUGAGGGACGAAAGCUAGGGGAGCGAUCCGG